GACGAACGCUGGCGGCGUGCCUAAUACAUGCAAGUAGAACGAUGAAGGAGGAGCUUGCUUCUCUGGAUGAGUUCCGAACGGGUGAGUAACGCGUAGGUAACCUGCCUGGUAGCGGGGGAUAACUCUUGGAAACGCUAGCUAAUACCGCAUAAGAGUAGAUGAUGCAUGACAUUUGCUUAAAAGAUGCAGUUGCAUCACUACUUAAUGAACCUGCGUUGGAUUAGUUAGUUGGUGGGGGAACGGCUCACCAAGGCGACGAUACAUAGUCGACCUGGGAGGGGGAGCGGCCCCACUGGGACUGAGACACGGCCCAGGCUCCUACGGGAGGCAGCAGUAGGGGAUCUUCGGCAAUGGACGGAAGGCUGACCGAGCAACGCCGCGUGAGUGAAGAAGGGUUUCGGAUCGUAAAGAUCUGUUGUAAGGGGAGAACGAGUGUUGUAGUGGAAUGUUCACGCUGUGACGGUAGCUGACCAGAAAGGCACGGCUAACUACGUG
rnacentral:rRNA from 1 species